rnacentral:tRNA from 1 species
GGCGAAUUGGAGAAGCGGUUUAACUCAUAUGCCUUUCACGCAUACACACACGGGUUCGAAUCCCGUAUUCGUCACCA